rnacentral:rRNA from 1 species
UACGGAGGGGACUAGCGUUGUUCGGAAUUACUGGGCGUAAAGCGAGUGUAGGCGGUCUGCCAAGUCUGUUGUGAAAUCUCCUGGCUCAACUGGGAGGGUGCGACGGAAACUGGCAGGCUUGAGUGCGGGAGAGGAGAGUGGAAUUCCUGGUGUAGCGGUGAAAUGCGUAGAUAUCAGGAGGAACACCGGUGGUGAAGACGGCUCUCUGGACCGCAACUGACGC